rnacentral:rRNA from 1 species
CCUAUACAUGCAGUCGAGCGAGGCUUCGAGCCGAGCGGCGAACGGCUGCGUAACACGUUGGUACCUGCCCCGAACUCAGGGAUAACAUCGAGAAAUCGGUGCUAAUACCGGAUAGUCCCGAAAGGGUAAAGAUUUUUCGGUUCGGGAGGGGCCUGCGGCCUAUCAGUUAGUUGGUGAGGUAAAAGCUUACCAAGACUAUGACGGGUAGCUGAUCUGAGAGGAUGAUCAGCCAGAAUGGGACUGAGACACGGCCCAUACUCCUACGGGAGGCAGCAGUAAGGAAUAUUCCGCAAUGGGGGCAACCCUGACGGAGCGACACCGCGUGGAGGAUGACACCAUUUUUGGCGUAAACUCCUGUCCUGAGGGAAGAAAUUUUUGACGGUACCUCAGAAGAAAGCACCGGCUAAUUCCGUGCCAGCAGCCGCGGUAAGACGGAAGGUGCAAGCGUUACUCGGAAUUACUGGGCGUAAAGCGUCCGCAGCCGUCUUAGAAAGUCUGAUGUAAAAUUUCGGAGCUCAACUCCGAAGUCGUAUCGGAAACUUCUAAGAUUGAGUUAGGGAGAGGCAUCUGGAAUGCCAUGUGUAGGGGUAAAAUCCGUUGAUCCAUGGUAGAACGCCAAAAGCGAAGGCAGGAUGCUGGCCAUAUACUGACGGUCAGGGACGAAAGCGUGGGGAGCAAAGGGGAUUAGAUACCCCCGUAGUCCACGCCCUAAACGAUGUGUGCUCGGUGUGGGAGAUUUCAAUUGUCUUCCGUGCCUUAGCUAACGCGGUAAGCACACCGCCUGUGAAGUACGGCCGCAAGGCUAANACAUAAAGGAAUAGACGGGGACCUACACAAGCGGUGGAGCGUGGGGUUUAAUUCGAUGAUAAGCGGAGCACCUCACCCAGACUUGACAUCUUGAGAAUGUCUAAGAAAUUAGAUCGUGCCUUUAUUUGGACU